rnacentral:rRNA from 1 species
CAGUCGCCGCGGGAAAACGGAGGGUGCAAGCGUUAAUCGGAAUUACUGGGCGUAAAGCGCACGCAGGCGGUCUGACAAGUCAGAUGUGAAAUCCCCGGGCUUAACCUGGGAACUGCAUUUGAAACUGUCAGGCUGGAGUCUUGUAGAGGGGGGUAGAAUUCCAGGUGUAGCGGUGAAAUGCGUAGAGAUCUGGAGGAAUACCGGUGGCGAAGGCGGCCCCCUGGACAAAGACUGACGCUCAGGUGCGAAAGCGUGGGGAGCAAACAGGAUUAGAUCCCGAGUAGUCCCUGUCUCUUAUACA